AACGAACGCUGGCGGCAUGCCUAACACAUGCAAGUCGAACGAGACCUUCGGGUCUAGUGGCGCACGGGUGCGUAACGCGUGGGAACCUGCCCUUAGGUUCGGAAUAACUCCCCGAAAGGGGUGCUAAUACCGGAUAAUGUCUUCGGACCAAAGAUUUAUCGCCUUUGGAUGGGCCCGCGUUGGAUUAGCUAGUUGGUAGGGUAAAAGCCUACCAAGGCGACGAUCCAUAGCUGGUCUGAGAGGAUGAUCAGCCACACUGGGACUGAGACACGGCCCAGACUCCGACGGGAGGCAGCAGUGGGGAAUAUUGGACAAUGGGCGAAAGCCUGAUCCAGCAAUGCGGCGUGAGUGAUGAAUGCCUUAGGGUUGUAAAGCUCUUUUACCCGGGAUGAUAAUGACAGUACCGGGAGAAUAAGCUCCGGCUAACUACGUG
rnacentral:rRNA from 1 species